UACGUAGGGGCCUAGCGUUGUCCGGAUUUAUUGGGCGUAAAGAGCUCGUAGGCGGUUCGGUAAGUCAGGGGUGAAAUCUCCACGCUCAACGUGGAGGCGCCACCUGAAACUGCCGUGACUCGAGUCCGGUAGGGGAGUGUGGAAUUCCCGGUGUAGCGGUGAAAUGCGCAGAUAUCGGGAGGAACCCCAGUGGCGAAGGCGGCACUCUGGGCCGGUACUGACGCUGAGGAGCGAAAGCGUGGGGAGCGAACAGG
rnacentral:rRNA from 1 species